UAAGAGCAUAUGUUCUUAAUUGAGAAUGGAU
rnacentral:piRNA from 1 species